UGGUGGGGUUGCAGACUGGUACAACCAUUCUGGAAAUCAGUCUGGAGGUUCCUCAGAAAAUUGGACAUUGAACUGCCUGAGGAUCCAGCUAUACCUCUCUUGGGCAUAUACCCAAAAGAUGCCUCAACAUAUAAAAGAGACACGUGCUCCACUAUGUUCAUCGCAGCCUUAUUUAUAAUAGCCAGAAAAUGGAAAGAACCCAGAUGCCCUUCAACAGAGGAAUGGAUACAGAAAAUGUGGUAC
rnacentral:lncRNA from 1 species